rnacentral:rRNA from 1 species
AGAACGAACGCUGGCGGCAUGCCUAAUACAUGCAAGUCGAACGAGAUCUUCGGGUCUAGUGGCGCACGGGUGCGUAACGCGUGGGAAUCUACCCUUGGGUUCGGAAUAACAGUUGGAAACGACCGCUAAUACCGGAUGAUGACGAAAGUCCAAAGAUUUAUCGCCCAGGGAUGAGCCCGCGUAGGAUUAGCUAGUUGGUGAGGUAAGGCUCACCAAGGCUACGAUCCUUAGCUGGUCUGAGAGGAUGGUCAGCCACACUGGGACUGAGACACGGCCCAGACUCCUACGGGAGGCAGCGAGUAGGGAAUAGUUGGACUAAGUGGGGGACAACCCGUGAUCCAGACAAGUCGGCCGCGUGGAGU